GUGUCAGCAGCCGCGGUAAUACGUAGGGGGCGAGCGUUGUCCGGAAUUACUGGGCGUAAAGGGUGCGUAGGCGGCCUGUCAAGUCGAUUGUGUAAUCCCUGGGCUUAACCCAGGAACUGCAGUCGAAACUGAUGGGCUUGAGUGCAGGAGAGGAAAGUGGAAUUCCUAGUGUAGCGGUGAAAUGCGUAGAUAUUAGGAUGAACACCAGUGGCGAAGGCGACUUUCUGGAAUGUAACUGACGUUGAGGCACGAAAGCGUGGGGAGCAAACAGGAUGAGAUACCCUGGUAGUCCACGCUGUAAACGAUGAAUACUAGGUGUAGGGGGUAUCGACCCCUCCUGUGCCGCAGUUAACACAUUAAGUAUUCCGCCUGGGGAGUACGGCCGCAAGGCUGAAACUUAAAGGAAUUGACGG
rnacentral:rRNA from 1 species